UAGGCGUGUGACUGCGUACCUUUUGUAUAAUGGGUCAGCGACUUAUAUUCUGUAGCAAGGUUAACCGAAUAGGGGAGCCGAAGGGAAACCGAGUCUUAACUGGGCGUUAAGUUGCAGGGUAUAGACCCGAAACCCGGUGAUCUAGCCAUGGGCAGGUUGAAGGUUGGGUAACACUAACUGGAGGACCGAACCGACUAAUGUUGAAAAAUUAGCGGAUGACUUGUGGCUGGGGGUGAAAGGCCAAUCAAACCGGGAGAUAGCUGGUUCUCCCCGAAAGCUAUUUAGGUAGCGCCUCGUGAAUUCAUCUCCGGGGGUAGAGCACUGUUUCGGCAAGGGGGUCAUCCCGACUUACCAACCCGAUGCAAACUGCGAAUACCGGAGAAUGUUAUCACGGGAGACACACGGCGGGUGCUAACGUCCGUCGUGAAGAGGGAAACAACCCAGACCGCCAGCUAAGGUCCCAAAGUCAUGGUUAAGUGGGAAACGAUGUGGGAAGGCCCAGACAGCCAGGAUGUUGGCUUAGAAGCAGCCAUCAUUUAAAGAAAGCGUAAUAGCUCACUGGUCGAGUCGGCCUGCGCGGAAGAUGUAACGGGGCUAAACCAU
rnacentral:rRNA from 1 species